ACUACAAAGCCAAACCUGUAAACAUUUGAAAAUAAUGUCUUUACAUUUUCAAAGUAUUAAGCAUAAAAUAUAAUAAAUGAUAAAGUAACUCAAUAUGUCACAUAGCUUAUCUCUGAUAUUUUGAAGUGAAAUGAGUAAUGAGCAAAUAUUCUUGUCAGCUCUUUGAUAGAAUGCUAACUGUUGCUAACAAGUAGCAACUUUACUUAGAAUUGAAAGCCCUUGAAAAUCGUGCUGUUGUUGAACAAGAUAAGACUGGAUUGAAAGGAAAUCUGAUUAAAAGCUUUCCAACCACAAUCAUCUGAUAUUCUAGGUACUGUGUACUCAGUAGCACAUUUUCUAAAUGAUGGUAGAGUUUGAUUUGAGGAAGAUUUGGCUGCUAUUUCUAGGAAGUGAAGCAACUAUUUUAGGGUCAGUU